rnacentral:lncRNA from 1 species
AUAUAUAUAUAUAUAUAGAGAGAGAGAGAGAGAGAGUGGGGCUAGAAUACUAUUGAUAGUAUUUAUCACUUUUUGCUAUCAAAUUUUUAAUUUUCAGAUAAAAAAUUAUAGGAUUAGAAUGAUAUUAGUCUCUUAGGAUUGAAUGGUCCUCACUGGAUUAUAAUACUUAAUCCAAUGGUUAUAAAUGAUCCAAGAAAUUGAUUCAAAGGCUAAAAACUUGAUAGCAAAAUAGAACAAAUACUAUUAAUAGUAUUAUAGCACAACUCUCUCUAUAUAAAUAUAAACAUUAUUAGUUGUUUUUAACUUAUUGAUCAGUU